rnacentral:lncRNA from 1 species
CAAUAAUUAGUUACUAUUACCAUUAUACCAUUAGUUUAGUAUCAUGUUUGUCUGUGCCAUGCUUGUACAGUGUAUAAAUAUAUAUUGUAAACAGAAUUCAUGUUUUGCAUUCAGCUGCAUAUGUAAAAAUUGUAUAUGUUUUAAAAGUUUAUCUUGUCGUAUCUUAUGAUGACGUCACAGUGACGUUAUUUUGGAACAAAAUACCUUAUCGGUUGUGAGAUUCAGGAAGAAAUGGACGCCAUUGCUGUUCUGUUCAUCAUUGUGGCCAUGUGCUUCGCAGCGGUCGGCGUGAUUGCCGUCGUCUACGUCAUCAGGAAGGGAAUGCGCGCAGACCGCCAGACGUCAGGAGAGGACAGUUUAGCAGACGUCAGUCUCGUGUGACCAUGUCGUCUGUUCCCGUCAUUCCAUUUUAAAACAUUUUAAAACCAUUCCAAAACAUUUUUAAAUUUCAACACAAGGUGACCAGCAGAGGCCGCUGCAGGGUCAGAGCGGGGGUUGGGGGAUUGGGGUGCGUGUUCAAGCUUCAGGUUGACAGCAUUUCUGAAUUUCAACACCAGUAGAGGCCGCUGCAGGGUUGGAGCUGGGGUUGGGGUGGCUGGGUAGGUGCGUAUUCAAGCUUCAGGUUGACAACAUUUCUGAAUUUCAACACCAGCGUUGGAGGGUCGGAGCAGUUGUGAAUGACGGGGUAUGUUGAGGUAUAUGUAGUGAGACACAAAAGAUUUUCAACAUCAUGAUGUCGUUUUGCAAGGCACCACGUGACGGUCAUGGUUAUAAUUAUGCGCAAUGCAGUUUUGAAGACGAGACACUCUUGGCGUGGAACCUUGUGAUAAGUAAAUUCUGUGAUAAACAGGACACGCGUAAUGGACACGAGAGACAGCGGUACCAUUGUUCAUUCGCAUAGGAAGUGUCAUCCUUGUAGUGCCUUUUGGUGAGAUGGAAGAGUCCAUAUGUCAGCAUUCACAUUCUCUUAAUGUAUCUACAUCAUGUUCAUGGCCUCGUGAUUUGGAUUCCUCACCAAUUCGUUACAACGCUUACGCAGUUUUGCGGUUCUACGUCGAGUUGCCAGUGUUUAAAACGUCUUGACUUAGUUUUCUUCUUACGGCAAAACCAACCGAAAACAUUGUAGCUGGUGCUGACAGUUGUUUCGAUCACAGGUUUGGAACAAACAGAACGAAUGUUUCAACAGCACUGUUGGAUUCGAGGAAGGGUGGGAACCUCAUUAUGUUAUUGAAAUGUUUAAUGAAAAAACAGUGAGAACUACAACAAAGGCAGAACUUUGCAAGAACGACGCCCCCCCACCCCCCACCCCCCACCCCCUCUUUUCCAGAUGUCUUGGAUCCGGUACUGGUUACAAGUUUCAGAAGUAAAGCUAACUGAUGGUCUGCUUGGCUCUAGGGACUGUUAAAGGAAUUAUAGGCGUGGGUUCGGAAUGUUAUGCAGGGAAGUGGAUUCUUCAUGCAACUACUUAAAUGGAAGUUGUAUCAUAACGGUGAAUACACUUUAAAAUAAAGUCGGGAAGAAACGUUUUUUUCUGCACCCGUUCGACCCCCACCCCUCUGGAUCCGCGACUGAAUUAAGGCAUAUUGACGAUGCACCUAUAAAGUCUUUAAGUAACAGUGCCAAUAUUCUUAGAAUCUGCCAUUCCCAGAUAUGUUCGUCAAGAUUACACUCGCUUUUAGGAUCGUUUAAUUGUUUAAAGAUCCAUUCCUGUGUAUUACUAUUGCGAUUUCCAUUUAUAAAAAUGUACCUCUGUGUUUUGUUUAUGUAUAUAUGGGUAAAGAGAAAAGGAGAGGAGAGACAUUCAGAGAGAGAGAGAGAAAGAGAAUGAGAGAGAAAGAAUGAGAGAGAGAAAGAAUGAGAGAGAGAGAGAGAGAGAGAGAGAGAGAGAGAGAGAGAGAGAGAGAGAGAGAGAGAGAGAGAGAGAGAGAGAGAGUGAGUCAGUCAUUUAUUACAAAUUGCUUUGCAUAAAGAUUUCAUUUUGUACUUUGAAACCACGUUCUUUGGAAAUAAAUAAUUACAUUAUA